GUGUCCUUCCCAGCAGGUUGGGGCUCACUGACAGCAGGCUCCCGGCUGCCAGCACGGCUGGUCCUGCUGUCGGUGGGCUGGGAAGCAGGCGGCUUCUCCACGGGCCUCUCCUCCCUGCGCGGGGAGCGCAGCAGGGCCGACAGCUCGUGCCGCAGCUGGUUCAGGUUGUUGGCGUCCUUCCAGUCAUCCUCGCAGAUGACCAAAGAUCCUCUACAACCACCCGGGAAUGAGCCAGUUACUGGUGAGCCAGGAGUGAGUGAGUGGGAAUUCACAUUCCUGGGAUUGCAGGAUGGAUCAGACAACAUUUUGCUGAUGGAGAAGCCAAGGUCUGCUAAGGCAUCAGGACAGAUCUGUUAGUGGCAAAACACCAGGCUAGAUACAGGACAAGGUAGAAGAAAGAUCCUUAACUUCAACUGAAAGCCAGAGGGAAGGCCAAGGCCAACAGAGGUAUUUUAUGAGCCAAUAAUGACACUGUCCAGAGUAAUGAGAUAUCAAAAACUACAAAGAAAAAAAAACCCAGCAGCUCCUAUUUGCUAUGGAAAUCUAUUGCUGCCAGAGCACACCGAGGAUACCUGCUCAUUUACAGGGCAACAAAGAUGUCUGGGCACUGAAUUCAAAGCAGAAUAUGCAUCACAUGUUUGGAGAGGAGUGGAAAGGGACUGACAGUCGGAAGAGAGCUAUGCAAAGCUGGAGGAAACAGUCUGCACUUCAUAAAUGAAGUGGUAAUUUUGGACAUGUCAUUUCAAACUGGGCAAGCCUGUUUCACACCAAAAACUUCUGUUAGCAGUUGCUAAUGCUCAGCAUCUCUCUGAAAAAACCACCCAUCCCCACGUCAUGAGCUGGCUCCUGAAAUGGAAAGCAUCCCCAGUACCCUGCCAGAGCCUCCAGAGAUGGCUGGGAAGAUUGUUCCCUGCCUUUGCUCGGGGUGUGACCAGCCCUGCAAACCUCCAGCUGAUUCAGAGCAGGCUCAGGGUGCUGGGCCAGGAACCUGCAUUUCCAGUUCGUGGUACCCGGCUCAGAUUUGUGCAGGGGAAGCUUUCACUGGAACCACCAGGAAUCACUUUUCAUCCUUGGAACACAGCAAGAUGUCCCCAGUUAUGAGAAAUAAAAUAAGGGUUUUUUUAUAUGUGAAGGUGUAAGGUAUCCAAGUUCCAAACUGGGUCUUUUUAAAUAUAAAGUUCCUAAAACUUUAAAUCUUUCUGGGCCACUUGGCAAAUUCUGAACAUAGGGGUUUCUUUUUCCUCUCUGGGCUAAGAACAAAGGAAAUCCAUCAUUUUUCACAGAGGACUCCUCACAGCCAACUGGAAGGAAGGGAAAGCCCCUUUUCGGAGAAAAAGAAACCUUUUUAGGCAAAACUGAAUAUAUUAAACUUAUCUGAAAAAGGGUGGGAUUUUGUAAAACUAUAAAAUGCAUGAGAUUUAAACCCAAGGGGUCUUUCACCCCGGAAACUUGGUGAGAGGAAGACCCAGCACACUGAAUAAAUUCUUCCUUGUUGAUACAGUUUCUUUGCUCCAUGAGUUUAUGCCAUCUUUCUAAAUUUA